UGUUGUGUUGUAUCGAGUUGU
rnacentral:piRNA from 1 species